rnacentral:rRNA from 1 species
AUGAUACGCGAGGAACCUUACCUGGGCUCGAACGUAAGAUGACUGUAGGUGAAAGCUUACACCUCUUCGGAGCAUUUCGAGGUGCUGCAUGGUUGUCGUCAGCUCGUGCCGUGAGGUGUCGGGUUAAGUCCCAUAACGAGCGCAACCCCUACCUUUAGUUGCCGUCAGGUAAUGCUGGGGACUCUAAAGGAACUGCCUACGCAAGUAGUGAGGAAGGCGGGGAUGACGUCAAAUCAGCACGGCCCUUACGUCCAGGGCUACACACGUGCUACAAUGGCCGAUACAGAGGGCAGCUACCUGGUGACAGGAUGCAAAUCUCCAAAGUCGGUCUCAGUUCGGAUCGGAGUCUGCAACCCGACUCCGUGAAGUUGGAUUCGCUAGUAAUCGCGCAUCAGCCAUGGCGCGGUGAAUACGUUCCCGGGCCUU